AUUGAACGCUGGCGGCAGGCCUAACACAUGCAAGUCGAGCGAGCGGCGGACGGGGGAGAAAUGUAUGGGGACUGCCCGAUAGAGGGGGAUAACUACUGGAAACGGUGGCUAAUACCGCAUACUAUCGGAUAACCCAUAUGGGAUUAGCUCGUAGGUGGGGUAAAGUCUCACCUUGGCUACGAUGUCUAGCUGUGCUGAGAGGAUGCUCAGCCACACGGUGACUGGAACACGGCCCAGACUCCGAUGGAGGCAGAAGGGGGGAAUAUUGCACAAGGGGCGCAAGCCUGAUGCAGCCAUGCCGCGUGUAUGAAGAAGGCCUUAGGGUUGUAAAGUACUUUCAGCGGGGAGGCGUUACCCGCAGAAGAAGCACCGGCUAACUCCGUGCCAGCAGCCGCGGUAAUAC
rnacentral:rRNA from 1 species